AUAAUACCUGGCAGGGGUGAUAUCAUGAUCACGAAGGUGGCCUUCACAGGGAAAGGCCCAUCACUGCUACACUCUGGAUGUGCCCACCCAGUGACCUCCCAUGUAGGAAACUUGACUGCACAAUUUGUGGUGGUGAAGGACUGCAUUCACACUUCUAUA